GUUCGGUUUUUGCCAAGAAUCAUUUUCCCCCUAGCCUUGAGCCAUGAUUUGCAGUGUAGAGGAAGAAUCGACGAUUGGAAGAUUACGGUCACUAUUCACAGUUUGAGUUCAAGCUUCUCCUUAAUUGUUGAGGGCAAUGUUGCGAGCUACGGCUAGAUGAAGGGACUCGUUUGCGUGGUCGCCAACUAGUACUUUUGCAGGCGCUAUUAGUUGAGGUCGGGCGUACAUGGAUCGAGGCAUAGUUGACGAAUAGCUUCCGCACUUCUUUGUUUGGCUCUGAUCUAUUGUGGGUUACUAUUUUGGGUAGUCCACUUUAGGGGCGACUCGACCAGUUCUCGGUAGAGUUAUCUCUAAGGU